AUCAUCAUCAACUACAGUCUUGAGCAGCC
rnacentral:piRNA from 1 species